rnacentral:rRNA from 2 species
CGGUGGUCCCACCUGACCCCAUGCCGAACUCAGAAGUGAAACGCCGUAGCGCCGAUGGUAGUGUGGGGUCUCCCCAUGCGAGAGUAGGGAACUGCCAGGU